rnacentral:tRNA from 1 species
GGUCGUGUAGCUCAACUGAAUAGAGUACCUGACUACGGAUCAGGCGGUUGUGGGUUUGAAUCCCGCCACGAUCA